GGUCUCAUGGUGUAAUGGUUAGCACUCUGGACUUUGAAUCCAGCGUUCCGAGUUCAAAUCUCGGUGAGACCU
rfam:Octopus bimaculoides Scaffold283019_contig_1, whole genome shotgun sequence.